GUACCCAUCCCGAACACGACCGUUAAGCCCUCCAGCGCCGAUGGUACUUGGACCGAAGGGUCCUGGGAGAGUAGGACGCCGCCAAGC
rnacentral:rRNA from 3 species